rnacentral:rRNA from 1 species
AGAUUGAACGCUGGCGGCAGGCCUAACACAUGCAAGUCGAGCGGCAGCACGGGUACUUGUACCUGGUGGCGAGCGGCGGACGGGUGAGUAAUGCCUAGGAAUCUGCCUGGUAGUGGGGGAUAACGCUCGGAAACGGACGCUAAUACCGCAUACGUCCUACGGGAGAAAGCAGGGGACCUUCGGGCCUUGCGCUAUCAGAUGAGCCUAGGUCGGAUUAGCUAGUUGGUGGGGUAAUGGCUCACCAAGGCGACGAUCCGUAACUGGUCUGAGAGGAUGAUCAGUCACACUGGAACUGGAGA